AUGUAUACCCUCUGUUGGAACUAUCGGGGACUUGGCAACCCCGCGACAGUUCGAGAGUUGCGCGAUCUCGCGCGAGAAUGUGCGCCGACGAUACUGUGUGUAGUGGAAACGCAAAUCACAAAGUAUCGUGUGGAGGGUUUGGCGAGGACUCUUGGUUUUGAUAAUGCUUAUGGGUUUGGUAGCUCUGGCCGAAGUGGUGGCUUGUGUAUACUUUGGAAGAGCUCGGUUGAUCUUACACUGAGGAAUUAUUCCAAGUACCACAUUGAUAUGGUGGUAAAGUAA
rnacentral:rRNA from 1 species